GAUGAACGCUGGCGGCGUGCCUAAUACAUGCAAGUCGAGCGAACAGACGAGGAGCUUGCUCCUCUGACGUUAGCGGCGGACGGGUGAGUAACACGUGGAUAACCUACCUAUAAGACUGGGAUAACUUCGGGAAACCGGAGCUAAUACCGGAUAAUAUAUUGAACCGCAUGGUUCAAUAGUGAAAGACGGUUUUGCUGUCACUUAUAGAUGGAUCCGCGCCGCAUUAGCUAGUUGGUACGGUAACGGCUUACCAAGGCAACGAUGCGUAGCCGACCUGAGAGGGUGAUCGGCCACACUGGAACUGAGACACGGUCCAGACUCCUACGGGAGGCAGCAGUAGGGAAUCUUCCGCAAUGGGCGAAAGCCUGACGGAGCAACGCCGCGUGAGUGAUGAAGGUCUUCGGAUCGUAAAACUCUGUUAUUAGGGAAGAACAAAUGUGUAAGUAACUAUGCGCGUCUUGACGGUACCUAAUCAGAAAGCCACGGCUAACUACGUG
rnacentral:rRNA from 1 species